CCAGGUCCCACGUGCCCCUACCUCCCGCACGCGCUCUCCCCAAACCCUAGGUCGCGCGCUCCCAGCCGCCGCCGCACUCACGUAGCCCCGCGCCCUCGCGUCUCCCCAGCCCACGCGCAGGGACGCCCACACUCGCCCGCGCAGCAGCUCGCGGUGGCGGUGGCCAGCCAACUCACGGCAGCGCGACGGCGUGGUCGCACAGCCUCAUGCGGCAUUCUGUCUAGCCACCAGCGAGCCUGUCCAUCGCAGCCGCCCCGCCAUGGCCCCGGCGCGGUCCCUGGCCGACGAGCUCGGCUGCUGGCCGCCUGUUGCAUCCGCCCGCCAUGGCCGCGCGCCACAGCCGCCUGCCAGCCAUGCCUUGCCCGCUUCCCCUGGCCCGCUCGUCGAGGUCCAGCCGUGUGAUGGCUGGUGAGCCCCGUCGGGUCCCGUGCUCCCUCCGCCGCGCCGCUCGGUGCACCCAGCCGGCACAUCUCCUCUGGCGAGCGCCCACAGUUGAAGCUGCCACAGUCGUCCCAUCCGCGCGUUGAAGAGUCGACGUUUGCGUUCUCCACUACCCGAGGGAGCCCCACUGAAGCUUCGUCCGUAGCUCGUCCAUGUCGCGCCGUUGCAUGCCAGCCCUGACCUCAACCACCGGCGGUGCUACAUCUGCUCCGACGAGGCCACCCAUCGUGAGCAGUUGAGCACCAUCGCAUGGCUCCGUCCGUCCCUGCAUGCGUCCAGUUGAGAUUAUUGGGGAAGAAACCGCCCGUGGCCCCCACCUGCAUGCCGAUAUCAACCUUCCCACGAUGUCCUGGUGGCUGCAUCUUGCAUACUGCGAUCCAUUUCCGAGCUUCGAGGAAUCGACGGUCAAGCUUCGGCGACCAAGUGAUCCAGUUCUUCGAGUUCCACG